rnacentral:rRNA from 1 species
CUGAAACAUCUUAGUACCCGGAGGAAGAGAAAGAAAAUUCGAUUCCCUUAGUAGCGGCGAGCGAAACGGGAAGAGCCCAAACCAACAAGCUUGCUUGUUGGGGUUGUAGGACACUCUAUACGGAGUUACAAAGGACGACAUUAGACGAAUCAUCUGGAAAGAUGAAUCAAAGAAGGUAAUAAUCCUGUAGUCGAAAAUGUUGUCUCUCUUGAGUGGAUCCUGAGUACGACGGAGCACGUGAAAUUCCGUCGGAAUCUGGGAGGACCAUCUCCUAAGGCUAAAUACUCUCUAGUGACCGAUAGUGAACCAGUACCGUGAGGGAAAGGUGAAAAGCACCCCGGAAGGGGAGUGAAAUAGAACCUGAAACCGUGUGCUUACAAGUAGUCAGAGCCCGUUAAUGGGUGAUGGCGUGCCUUUUGUAGAAUGAACCGGCGAGUUACGAUUUGAUGCAAGGUUAAGCAGUAAAUGUGGAGCCGUAGCGAAAGCGAGUCUGAAUAGGGCGUUUAGUAUUUGGUCGUAGACCCGAAACCAGGUGAUCUACCCUUGGUCAGGUUGAAGUUCAGGUAACACUGAAUGGAGGACCGAACCGACUUACGUUGAAAAGUGAGCGGAUGAACUGAGGGUAGCGGAGAAAUUCCAAUCGAACCUGGAGAUAGCUGGUUCUCUCCGAAAUAGCUUUAGGGCUAGCCUCAAGUGAUGAUUAUUGGAGGUAGAGCACUGUUUGGACGAGGGGCCCCUCUCGGGUUACCGAAUUCAGACAAACUCCGAAUGCCAAUUAAUUUAACUUGGGAGUCAGAACAUGGGUGAUAAGGUCCGUGUUCGAAAGGGAAACAGCCCAGACCACCAGCUAAGGUCCCAAAAUAUAUGUUAAGUGGAAAAGGAUGUGGCGUUGCCCAGACAACUAGGAUGUUGGCUUAGAAGCAGCCAUCAUUUAAAGAGUGCGUAAUAGCUC